GGAGUGGUAGCUCAAUUGGUUAGAGUACUAGCCUGUCACGCUAGGGGUUGCGGGUUCAAGUCCCGUCCAUUCCGCCA
rnacentral:tRNA from 2 species